AGAGGAGGAAGUGAUCACAGAUGUCAAGGAUUUUAGUGGAAAUGGGAUUGAGCAAGAGCAAGUAGCAGGUUAUAGUCAAAGUCUGGAUAAUACAGAGAAUAAUUCUUCAAGGAGGACCUCGAUGAAUCCCCUGGAAUCCUAUAGUCAAUGUCUGGGUACUAAAGAGAAGGAUUCUUCAAGGAGGACCUCGAUGAAUCCCCUGGAAUAUGAGGGUGGUACCGUCAUGACCCUAACUGAACCAGAUGAGGCGCUACAAGGACAGACCCUCACCCCACAGGGCCCCCGGCUGUUCCCUCCUUCUCCCGUUUUCAGGGCGACGACGGGGAUGGGAUCUCGCCUGUCACUCAACUCCCUCUCCAGCCCAGGGGUCGACCAGCCCCAGUCGGCACGACGAUGCAGCCUCACCGUGGCCGUCUGUCGUCAAGGCGACCGGGCUCGUCGGUUCAGCUGUACGCGUCUGGAGCGUUCAAACAGUAAGGGAUACAUCAAACUGGAAACCGUGGACGGAGAUUCCUUCGAGGUACCAGAUGUAGUGACUUCCUGUGUGCCUGACUCGAAUCAGGAAGAAGAAGUAGUAGCAGACGAGGUAGCAGAAGCAGCUCAAGGAAAAAGAGAGAGGGUGACUGUCACCCUUAGCUCUUCUUUAACAGAACUCUAGACAGAUCUGUCUCAAUCGUCAUGUCGAUCUCUUUAGACAGUGAUCAAAACUGACCAAUAGAGUCAAGGUACAGCCAAAAAGGAACUCAGGAGAGGAGAAUCAAAUCAACUCACAACAAAUCAACUCUAGACAGAUCUCUACACAGAACUCUAGAACUAUCUCUUUGUGUCUCAUCAUUGUAGAUGGAUGUCAUAGUCAGUAGAAGACAGUGAUAAAAACUGACCUAUAGAGUCAAGGUGCAGCCAGAAGGAUGUCAGGAGAUCAGGGAGAAGGAGAGAGAGAGAGAGAGAGAGAGAGAGAGACAGACAGAGAGAGAGAGAGACAGACAGAGAGAGAGACAGACAGAGAGAGAGAGACAGAGAGAGACAGAGAGACACAGAGACACAGAGACACAGAGGCAGAGAAGGAGAGAACAGGAGAGGGUGAGAAGGAGAAGGAGAUGGAGAGAGAAGAAAGAGAGAGAGAGAGAGAGAGAGAGAGAGAGAGAGAGAGAGAGGGAGAGAGAGAGAACAGGAGAGGGUGAGAAAGAGGAGAAGGAGAUGGAGAGAGAAGAGAGAGAGACAUGGUGUCCCCAGAAAGUGAUCAGGGAGAGAGACGGGAAAGAAGAGGGAGAAAGAGAAGGUGUGAUGGGAAUAGCCCCCACCUCUUCAACAGAGUUGUAAUUUUCAACACCAAUUAGGGUCCCCUGGAGAACAUGGACCGAAACUAUGGUUCCUACAGAACUAUAGACAGAACUGUGUCCGGUCAUUUCUAUGUAAGCGAUAAACAACAAUGGUCUGUACAUUUCUAUGAAAAAUAUACCACGAUGCAGUGAAGCAGUAUAUUAUAUAUAUACUGUAGCAGUCAAACGUUUGGACACACCUACUCAUUCCAGGGUUUUUUAAAUAAAUGCUUCACAGAGUUUAGGUAACAGACACAUCUCAACAUCAACUGUUCUGAGGAGACUGUGUGAAUCAGGCCUUCAUGGUCGAUUUACUGCAAAGAAACCACUACUAAAGGACACCAAUAAUAAGAAGAGACUUGCUUGGGCCAAGAAACACGAUCAAUGAACAUUAGACCGGUGGAAAUAUGUCCUUUGGUCUGAUGAGUCUUUUUUGGUAACUACAUGAUUCCAUAUGUGUUAUUUCAUAGUUUUGAUGUCUUCACUAUUAUUCUACAAUGUUGAAAAUAGUAAAAUAUAUAUAUAUAUUAAAAACCUUGAAUGAGUAGGUGUGUCCAAACUUUUGACUGGUUCUGUGUAUAGUACCCUUUCAUUUGUGAUUGAGACAUUUUCUGUAGCUGGGUCUAUUACAGGUCUAUACAGGUGCAUACAGGUCUAUUACAGGUCUAUUACAGGUCUAUUACAGGUCUAUUACAGGUCUAUUACAGGUCUAUACAGGUGUAUACAGGUCUAUUACAGGUCUAUUACAGGUCUAUAGAGGUCUAUACAGGUCUAUAGAGGUCUAUACAGGUCUAUACAGGUCUAUAGAGGUCUAUACAGGUCUAUAGAGGUCUAUACAGGUCUAUAGAGGUCUAUACAGGUCUAUACAGGUCUAUACAGGUCUAUACAGGUCUAUAGAGGUCUAUACAGGUCUAUACAGGUCUAUACAGGUGUAUACAGGUCUAUAGAGGUCUAUACAGGUGUAUACAGGUCUAUAGAGGUCUAUACAGGUGUAUACAGGUCUAUACAGGUCUAUACAGGUGUAUACAGGUCUAUAGAGGUCUAUACAGGUGUAUACAGGUCUAUACAGGUCUAUACAGGUGUAUACAGGUCUAUACAGGUCUAUACAGGUGUAUACAGGUCUAUAGAGGUCUAUACAGGUGUAUACAGGUCUAUAGAGGUCUAUACAGGUGUAUACAGGUCUAUACAGGUCUAUACAGGUGUAUACAGGUCUAUAGAGGUCUAUACAGGUGUAUACAGGUGUAUACAGGUCUAUACAGGUCUAUACAGGUGUAUACAGGUGUAUACAGGUCUAUAGAGGUCUAUACAGGUGUAUACAGGUCUAUAGAGGUCUAUACAGGUGUAUACAGGUGUAUACAGGUCUAUAGAGG
ensembl:lncRNA